AUCCAGAUGACGAGUCCCAAAUAGAAAGAAACGCGAGUCCUGGAU
rfam:Schistosoma mattheei strain Denwood, Zambia genome assembly, scaffold: SMTD_contig0001363